CCCUCCCCACCCUCUGGGACUCGCUGCCGUCCAUCGCCGUCGUCGGAGGCCAGAGUUCGGGCAAAUCUUCAGUGCUGGAGAGCGUUGUUGGGAAGGAUUUCCUGUCCAGGGGUUCAGGCAUCGUCACCCGUCGCCCCUGGCUCUGCAGCUACAUAGGAUUUAUGGA